AGUGAACGCUGGCGGUAGGCCUAACACAUGCAAGUCGAACGGCAGCACAGUAAGAGCUUGCUCUUACGGGUGGCGAGUGGCGGACGGGUGAGGAAUACAUCGGAAUCUACUUUUUCGUGGGGGAUAACGUAGGGAAACUUACGCUAAUACCGCAUACGACCUACGGGUGAAAGCAGGGGAUCUUCGGACCUUGCGCGAUUGAAUGAGCCGAUGUCGGAUUAGCUAGUUGGCGGGGUAAAGGCCCACCAAGGCGACGAUCCGUAGCUGGUCUGAGAGGAUGAUCAGCCACACUGGAACUGAGACACGGUCCAGUCUCCUACGGGAGGCAGCAGUGGGGAAUAUUGGACAAUGGGCGCAAGCCUGAUCCAGCCAUACUGCGUGGGUGAAGAAGGCCUUCGGGUUGUAAAGCCCUUUUGUUGGGAAAGAAAAGCAGCAGGUUAAUACCCCGCUGUUCGGACGGUACCCAAAGAAUAAGCACCGGCUAACUUCGU
rnacentral:rRNA from 1 species